GACGAACGCUGGCGGCGUGCUUAACACAUGCAAGUCGAACGGAAAGGCCCUGCUUUUGUGGGGUGCUCGAGUGGCGAACGGGUGAGUAACACGUGAGUAACCUGCCCUUGACUUUGGGAUAACUUCAGGAAACUGGGGCUAAUACCGGAUAGGAGCUCCUGCUGCAUGGUGGGGGUUGGAAAGUUUCGGCGGUUGGGGAUGGACUCGCGGCUUAUCAGCUUGUUGGUGGGGUAGUGGCUUACCAAGGCUUUGACGGGUAGCCGGCCUGAGAGGGUGACCGGCCACAAUGGGACUGAGAUACGGCGCAGACGCCUACGGGAGGCAGCAGUGGGGAAUAUUGUACAAUGGGAGGAAGCCUGAUGCAGCAACGCCGCGUGAGGGAUGACGGCCUGCGGGGUGUAAACCGCUGUCGCCUGUGACGAAGCGGGAGUGACGGUAAUGGGUAAAGAAGCACCGGCUAACUACGUG
rnacentral:rRNA from 1 species